AGCUCCAAUAGCGUAUAUUAAAGUUGUUGCGGUUAAAAAGCUCGUAGUUGGAUUUCUGCUGGGGACAACUGGUCUGCCUACUGGGUAAGUAUUUGUGUGUCUCAAGCAUGUUCUUGGAUGGCACUUCUGCACUUGACUGUGUGGUGUGAUCUCCAAGGUUGUUACUUUGAGGAAAUUAGAGUGUUCACGGCAGGCAAACGCCUUGAAUACAUUAGCAUGGAAUAAUAAUAUAGGACUUUAGCCCUAUUUUGUUGGUUUCUAGAGCUAGAGUAAUGAUUAAUAGGGAUAAUUGGGGGCAUUCGUAUUAACGCGUCAGAGGUGGAAUUCUUGGAUUGCGUUACGACGAACUACUGCGAAAGCAUUUGCCAAGGACGUUCUCAUUAAUCAAGACGAAAGUUAAGCACG
rnacentral:rRNA from 1 species